rnacentral:rRNA from 1 species
AACGAACGCUGGCGGCAUGCCUAACACAUGCAAGUCGAACGAGACCUUCGGGUCUAGUGGCGCACUGGUGCGUAACGCGUUGGAACCUGCCCUUAGGUUCGGAAUAACUCCCCGAAAGGGGUGCUAAUACCGGAUAAUGUCUUCGGACCAAAGAUUUAUCGCCUUUGGAUGGGCCCGCGUUGGAUUAGCUAGUUGGUAGGGUAAAAGCCUACCAAGGCGACGAUCCAUAGCUGGUCUGAGAGGAUGAUCAGCCACACUGGGACUGAGACACGGCCCAGACUCCUACGGGAGGCAGCAGUGGGGAAUAUUGGACAAUGGGCGAAAGGCUGAUCCAGCAAUGCCGCGUGAGUGAUGAAGGCCUUAGGGUUGUAAAGCUAUUUUACCCGGGAUGAUAAUGACAGUACCGGGAGAAUAAGCUCCGGCUAACUCCGUG